AUUGAACGCUGGCGGCAGGCCUAACACAUGCAAGUCGAGCGGUAACAGGGCUAGCUUGCUAGUUGCUGACGAGCGGCGGACGGGUGCGUAACACGUAGGAAUCUGCCCGGUAGUGGGGGAGUAGCCCGGAGAAAUCCGGAUUAAUACCGCAUACGCCUUAAGAGGGAAAGGACAGGGGAGUCUUCGGACCUUGCGCUAUCGGAUGAGCCUGCGUCGGAUUAGCUUGUUGGUGGGGUAAAGGCCUACCAAGGCAACGAUCCGUAGCUGGUCUGAGAGGAUGAUCAGCCACACUGGGACUGAGACACGGCCCACGACUCCUACGGGAGGCAGCAGGUGGGGAAUAUUGCACAAUGGGCGAAAGCCUGAUGCAGCCAUGCCGCGUGUGUGAAGAAGGCCUUAGGGUUGUAAAGCACUUUCAGCGAGGAGGAAAGGUUCAAGGCUAAUACCCUUGAGCUGUGACGUUACUCGCAG
rnacentral:rRNA from 1 species